rnacentral:lncRNA from 1 species
AUCAUUUCGUAUUAUGUGGGUAAAAAGAUUUUUGUCAGAACAUGACUCCAAAUGAAAACAUGUUUCCAAAGCAUUCUUCUCCCUUUUUGAUUUAGAGGAUUUAUUUAUGAGCAGAUGUGAAUUUGAGUUUUUAAAUUUAAAAGCACCUCUUUUUUUAUAUAGAAGUGUUAUCUGCCUGGAAACGUUUCAAGGGUAUUUUCAUCCCGUUAAAUGCAUUUCAUGUUAGAAAAGAAUUUAUUUUGUUCAAUCCGUUUAUCAAAGUUGACAGAACGAGUAUUUUUUACAGAUCUUGGUACAUGAAAGGCAUACGGUUCAUCAAUG